rnacentral:misc_RNA from 1 species
AAGCACGAACACAAGUCAAAUCCAACCAUAGCAGAAAUGGCAGGAUCACAGAUCAAAAUUCCUCUUCCAAAGCCCCCCGAUUCAGACUCUCAAAGACUAAAUGCAUUCCCUGUCAUCAUGGCUCAAGAAGGCAAAGGACGACUCCUUAGACAAAUCAGGCUUAGGAAAAUAUUAUCAGGAGAUCCGUCUGAUCAGCAAAUUACAUUUGUGAAUACAUAUGGAUUCAUCCGUGCCACUCCAGAAACAUCCGAGUUCAUCUCUGAAUCAUCACAACAAGAGGUAACUCCUGUAGUGACAGCGUGCAUGCUGUCCUUUGGUGCCGGACCAGUGCUAGAAGAUCCACAACAUAUGCUGAAGGCUCUUGAUCAGACAGACAUUAGGGUUCGGAAAACAGCAAGUGAUAAAGAGCAGAUCUUAUUCGAGAUCAACCGCAUCCCCAAUCUAUUCAGGCAUCAUCAAAUAUCUGCGGACCAUCUGAUUCAGGCCAGCUCCGAUAAAUAUGUCAAGUCACCAGCGAAAUUGAUUGCAGGAGUAAAUUACAUCUACUGUGUCACAUUCUUAUCUGUGACAGUUUGUUCUGCCUCACUCAAGUUUCGAGUUGCACGCCCAUUGCUUGCUGCACGGUCUAGAUUAGUAAGAGCAGUUCAGAUGGAAGUUUUGCUUCGGGUAACUUGCAAAAAAGAUUCUCAAAUGGCAAAGAGCAUGUUAAAUGACCCUGAUGGAGAAGGGUGCAUUGCAUCCGUGUGGUUCCACCUAUGUAAUCUGUGCAAAGGCAGGAAUAAACUUAGAAGUUACGAUGAAAAUUAUUUUGCUUCUAAGUGCCGUAAGAUGAAUCUGACAGUCAGCAUAGGAGAUAUGUGGGGACCAACCAUUCUAGUCCAUGCAGGCGGUCACAUUCCGACAACUGCAAAACCUUUUUUCAACUCAAGAGGCUGGGUCUGCCACCCAAUCCACCAAUCAUCACCAUCGUUGGCGAAGACCCUAUGGUCAUCUGGGUGUGAAAUCAAGGCUGCCAGUGCUAUCCUCCAGGGUUCAGACUAUGCAUCACUUGCAAAGACUGAUGACAUAAUAUAUUCGAAGAUAAAAGUCGAUAAAGACGCGGCCAACUACAAAGGAGUAUCCUGGAGUCCAUUCAGGAAGUCUGCCUCAAUGAGUAACCUAUGAAAAUUUCCUCUAUUUCCACUGAUGCCUAUAGGAGAAUCAACAAUCAAGCAAAUUUGACCGGUGGUAAUUCGAUUGAAAUU